AAUGCCAAAUCGUAUUUAGUAAAUGGCAUUCUGUAAUCUGUUUUAAAUUCUAACUUUUAGUGUGUGGACUGUGUGGUUACUAAUCGAAGAAUUGUUUAAGAGAAAAAUUGUUCAUUUGUGUACUUUUAUCUUAAAUCUGAAUAUAACCUUUACUACUACAUUCUAUAAUAGACGAAUAUUAAUUUUCUAUAGUGAUAGUCGUAAGUAAUUCAUAGUAGUCGUUACUUGAAGCUAACGUUAUAUUAUUCUCUAUAUUACCAAUUAACCGCAAACACACAAAGCAGUAAUUGUUAUAUUACAAGCUUUAUGUCAGCGAAGUUAAAAUUAAUUUUAUUGUGAUGCAUACUACUAUGAGCUCGCAGCAAAGUCCAGCCAACAUGCAAACUGUUGUGGACAGAGAAAAGAUUUAUUCCUGGAUAUUAGAACUUUGCAAUCCCGAAACUCGGGAAAAUGCACUCUUGGAACUUAGUAAAAAGAGGGAAGUUGUACCAGAUUUGGCACCUAUGCUAUGGCAUAGUUUUGGCACCAUAGCAGCACUGUUACAAGAAAUAACGAACAUUUAUGUGGCCAUGAUUCCUGCAACUCUGACAGCACAUCAAAGCAAUCGAGUUUGUAAUGCAUUAGCUUUAAUGCAGUGUGUUGCAUCUCAUCCAGAGACAAGGUCAGCUUUUUUACAAGCUCAUGUUCCUCUCUUUCUCUAUCCUUUUCUGCAUACAGUUUCCAAAACUCGCCCUUUUGAAUAUCUCCGCCUUACCAGUCUUGGAGUAAUAGGAGCAUUAGUCAAAACAGAUGAACAAGAAGUUAUAACAUUCCUAUUAACAACUGAAAUUAUUCCUUUGUGCUUACGUAUUAUGGAAAAUGGAUCAGAAUUAUCAAAGACAGUAGCUACAUUCAUCCUACAAAAGAUCCUAUUAGAUGAUAGUGGCCUGUGUUACAUAUGCCAAACAUAUGAUAGAUUUUCCCAUGUAGCUAUGAUAUUAGGAAAAAUGGUAUUAUCUCUAGCUAAAGAUCCAUCUGCAAGGCUUCUAAAACAUGUUGUCCGAUGUUACUUACGCUUGUCAGAUAAUCCUAGAGCUAGGGAAGCUUUAAGACAAUGUCUCCCAGAUCAAUUGCGUGAUGCAACAUUUACCGCUUGUUUACAAGAAGAUAAUUCUACUAAGCAUUGGCUUGCACAAUUAAUCAAGAAUUUAGAAGCUCAACCAGCACCGGCAAGUCCUGCUCAAGCAAACAUGUGAGAAUUAUCUUUAUUCAAUUACAUCCUCUACAAAACAUUUCAAAUAUAGUGGUACAGACCAACAUGAAAACAGUAGCAUAAUACGCAGUUGUAAAAUGGACCGUAAAUUUUACAAAAAUAAAUUUUAUAGUUUUGUA